rnacentral:tRNA from 1 species
UAUUUAUUAGUUUAAAAUAAAACAUUAUAUUUUCAAUAUAAAAAUAACUUUAUUAUAAAUAA